rnacentral:rRNA from 1 species
GACGAACGCUGGCGGCGUGCUUAACACAUGCAAGUCGAACGAAGAGCGAUGGAAGCUUGCUUCUAUCAAUCUUAGUGGCGAACGGGCGAGUAACGCGUAAUCAACCUGCCCUUCAGAGGGGGACAACAGUUGGAAACGACUGCUAAUACCGCAUACGAUCUAAUCUCGGCAUCGAGGAUAGAUGAAAGGUGGCCUCUACAUGUAAGCUAUCACUGAAGGAGGGGAUUGCGUCUGAUUAGCUAGUUGGAGGGGUAACGGCCCACCAAGGCGAUGAUCAGUAGCCGGUCUGAGAGGAUGAACGGCCACAUUGGGACUGAGACACGGCCCAGACUCCUACGGGAGGCAGCAGUGGGGAAUCUUCCGCAAUGGACGAAAGUCUGACGGAGCAACGCCGCGUGAGUGAUGACGGCCUUCGGGUUGUAAAGCUCUGUUAAUCGGGACGAAAGGCCUUCUUGCGAAUAGUGAGAAGGAUUGACGGUACCGGAAUAGAAAGCCACGGCUAACUACGUG